ensembl:lincRNA
AGGCUCCGCAAUGGCCCUGCCGCUUCCUUCACCCAUACCCUUGGGAAGAAUUCUGGCGAAGAAUCCACACGCAGCUGUCUCUUCCGCAGAGUGGCUGAGUGGCCGUCUGCAGGGUCCGAGGCGCGGCCGGGAGCAGACACGCUGCGAUCCGGUGUCAAGGGACCAUUUCCCACGUCAGAGGUUAGUCGCUUUAAAGCUUCUUAACAACACUGGAAACUUGAAUUUCUCCUAUUUAACAAUGAUUUAAAACAGGAAGAAAUAGUGGUUUUGGUGAUUACUAAGUAUUCUCUAUAACCCCUGCAAAGAAAUGUGCUUCUUGAACUUGCAUUAAGAAAAACAUUAAAGGCUCAUUAAGGUUAACUAGAUUAGAUGGUUAAAAGCAAAUGACACUAAUUAUUAUUUACCUUUAUUUAGAUAAGGUAUUUAGAGAGAAAAAUGAAAGGAUCCAUUUAGGAGUUUUGUAAUUUACCAAGAACGAACGAGGUAAAUUGCUAACGCCCCCAGACCCCGUUACUAGGGAUUGGACCUUGGACCUUUGCACUGAGCAACAUUCAGACCUUUAGAGCUUUUUUCUUUAGCUUUCACUUUUUAUUUUUAUUUUAGGUUCUCACCAAGUCACUAAGCUGCUUAGGCUGGCCCUGGACCUGUGGACCUCCUACUUCAGUAUCCUGGGGGUGCUGGAAACACAGCCAGGUUUCGGAUUCAUCAUAAAAGAGCACAUUCCUUUAAUUAGGGAUGGGAAUUCUGAAUGCUCUUUCCUAGGCAGAUCUGUGAGGCGGGCAGAUCCUUAACUUUCCCUUCUCUUGCUGCGUCUUCGGUUACCCAGAGCAUCAAACAGCCUUACCAUCUCCAAAAGUGACUGAUGAAAGAUGGUGCCCUUCGUAUCCCGAGACCUUGCAGUUAGUCAGUGGCCAUCGCCUCAGAGGUGGGUAAGGCAACACUGUGUAGCUGGCAGAAAUUCUCUCUGUAAAUCAGCUCUCAUGACUACCUUGCUCCCCUUCUGCCGGUUGGGAAAGACUCCCUGGAACACUGUUCAUCCUCAUCUCCCGCACUGCCAGUUAACCUCCACACCAGGGGACGGCACCACCACCUGCCCCUCUUCGGACGCUUCCCGUGGCCGUGAUGAGUGUGAGCCCCUCCCUGCAGACAGCGAGAAACUGCCCGGGCCCCUCGGAGGUGCGGUGAGUUGUGGCUGGGGAAACAGAAAAUGGACCGAGCAGCAGGCCCCUCUGGACCGCUAUUCACAGAUGACGUCGGAGGAUUCAGUACACUCUGACAAAGCACUUUCCCUAAGUGUAGCUGGAGAAGCUGGGGCACCGCACGGGAGAGUUUCCCCUUUGCCUAUGUGACAGAGAAGGACUGUGUAGUCAGGUCUGCAACAGAAGCCUCACCCCGGUAGGGACCCAACAGCGAGCUCUCCACAGAUUUGCACUUGGGUCCAGAAUCUGCCUUUGCUUUGAUGUGGAGAAUCUUCUUUUUAUGGAAAAGAAGUAGAGGAGGAUUUCAGUUCGCAAAUACUGGUGUAAAAGGAAGGCAAAGGACUGCCCUGCCAAGUGAUGAAAAGAAAUGCCGUCCUCUUUCUCUGGGGUGGCGGGCUUUAGGCUCAAGCGUGGGAACAGGGCUGGAGCCUCAGGUCUGGACUGGGGUCUGUGGGGCUCAGUGGACCGGAAGGGCGAGCUCUGCGGCUGCACCGGAAGCCAGGGACAGGAAGUGCGGGGCAACUUGCUGCAGUCUGGUCCCGCCAAGCCUGACACCCAUGUGCUUCCGUGUUCCUGGCCGCUCAUUUCCUUGUGUCUCUGAUGAAAAAGAAAACCGAGUUCAUCUGGGGCCCAUUUAUAAACUUUUCAAGCCAUAAUAAUUUUUAAAAAAUUAAGUUUAUUGGUACAUUUUAGGUAUACAACUACAUUCAUCAUUGGGAAUUUGCAUCUUUACAUGAUGUAUCUUGGUUCUUAUUUUUUCCCCAUUCCCCUGCCCUCCCUUCCACCUCUCCACCUCUCCCUAUUUAUAAAGACUUUGUUUCCAUUUUUCAUUUUCUCAUAUUUCUUCCUUUCCCCUACCCCUCCCAGUUCCCCUUCCCCUUUGGACCUUUUCUUCCUAUUUCACAGAAUCAUACCACAGUGAUAUAUGCACACCCAUGUUUUUAGCAGCACAGUCUGUAAUAGCUAAAACUUGGAAACAGCCCAAUUGACCAUCAACAGGAGACUGGAUAAAGGAAAUGUACAUUUUAAAAACCAAAAUGGAGUACUACUCAGCCACAAAGAAGGAGAAAUUAGACACAUAAUAUUUUGAUUAUGAUUGCUUCGCAGUAUAUUUUAACACUUGGGAGAACAAUUUUCAUUUAUAUUUUUCCUUCCAAAUUUAGCUUAAGAAUCUGUAUUUCAUGUAAAUUUUAUAAUGACUUUGAGUUCCUCAGAAGAGCAUCCAUUUAUAACCAUGAUGGAAAGCUCUGAAAGCCGAGAUUUAUAUUGCUCUGCCAGAGACAUCCCAAAGUGAGUUUCUGUCAUUUGAAUCACUUAACCAAUUCAGGAAAUCUGUCAGGUAAAUGCUUUUAUUAUCUCAUCAUACAGAAACACGAAUGGGUAGAAGAACAAAGUAAUUUGACAAAUUUGGUCAAAUUUGGUCUCAUUGAAAUGGCUGAGAAUAAAACCCAGACUUUUAAGAUUUAUAGUCUAUUUUUAACUACUAUGAUAAAAUAAAAUAUUUCCUUUGUUUCAUUGUUGUUACAUUAAUCCUCAAAUAUUUGUGGCA